rnacentral:rRNA from 1 species
GAUACCCUAUUAUUUUAAACGUUAAUUUAAGUACUAAAAUUAUUAAUAGUUAAGGUCUUUAAAGUUAAAUAUUUUGGCGGUAUUUUAGUCUUUUCAGAGGAACCUGUUUUGUAAUCGAUAGUCCACGAUUAAUUUUACUUUAUUUUUGAAUUUGCAUAUCGUCGUUAUAUAAAUAUUUUAUAAGAAUUUUAAUGUUUAGGAUUCAGUAUUUUGGAAUAAUUCAGAUCAAGGUGUAGUUUAUGGUAAAGUUAAAAUGGGUUACAUUUAACAUAAUAUUAGAUUUUUAAUUGAAAAUUAAAUUGAAAUUGGAUUGAAAGUAAUUCUUAAAUUUAUAUAGAUUGAUUAAGCUCUAAAAUAUGCACACAUCGCC